UAUGGAGGUAUUCUUGGUAUCA
rnacentral:miRNA from 1 species